rnacentral:sRNA from 1 species
AACAAAAAGAGGAGGGGGAGCAGGAAAAGGUGUUACCAGACAUCAUGGGGAGUCUCAGCAGAGCCAUCAUGUGAUACUGGAGAACUCAGGGUUCAUCUUGGAGCCCUUAUUCUCAUUAAUAACAUAAGUUAAGGAGGGUCACAAAUGGACGCUCAAGAGCAAAGAAGUGACACCGGCAGAAGCUUUGGGACCAUUUAUUUCAGUUCAAAAAGAAAACACCAGGACAGGUGAGGUCAGAGGGCGAAGAAGGGAAAGACAAGAGCUACCCUGCUGCAGUAGAGGAGAAAGAGGCUUCAGAAAGAGAGUAAGGAAGCCCACCGUGUCAGGGAGUUUUAAAGCACACUCAGAUUUGGCCAACAUCUGAAAGCAAACGGAGACAGACAGGGCUUUCUGCUCUUGGGUUUUUAUUGGAGGACCAGCAAGAGGGCUUAGUUGUUAAAGAUACUCACUGCUAAACCGAUGAUGCCCUCAACACACAGAGAAUCACAUGGUACUCAUUGAAUACACACUGAAUCAAAAUAUAACAAGUUUUAUUUGAAAAUUAGAGAUGAUUCUCAGCACCCCUCCACCCUGUGUUAUUGGCUGUUUUGUGAAUGUAAGAAACAAACAUUUAGCUAUUAAGUAGUGUACAAUAAAGAAAGGUUGAAAAUGGCCCAGAAGGGAAGGCGUUGGGGAAACCCCUGGGAAGGCUCACUCAGCUCUUCUGCUGGCUACUGUCACACUGCACAGUCCUCAGACAGGCUUCCUGCUGGGCCUCUCGACACACUCGUCACUCUGCCAGUUGACAGGCCAGGGUAUGAAGAAGAGCUUCCUCGGGAUGUGAAGUGCUCGGGAGAACAGAGGGCUUGUGUGGGUUGCGUGAAACACAGUGGCUUCACUGGAAAGAACAGCAGGGGUCGUCUCUAUGGAAGAGGAGAAAGGGGGGAAGUCACAGUUGGACACUUACUUACAUAUUCAUAUAUUCUCAGACUCCUUGCCUCAUAGCCCCCCAACAACCCCACAGGACUCUACUCGAGGCUUCCGAGAUCGUACUUCUCACCUCCAGCUGGGACUUGGCUCCUCAGAACCAUGGUCCACCCACUUUGUUCUUCCUCCCCCAGACCAUUCCAGCUGCUGCUGUUGCUUGCCUCAGACCUCACGAGGAUUCAUGGGGAUGGGGAGCCUUGCAACCAGGGGAGCAGGCCUGGAGCAAGAAUGAGGUCAAGGUGUGUCCAGACCCAAGAAAUCUCGUCUUGAGAUGCAGCAGUAGCCAGUCUCAGGAGUAGCCUGCACGUCCUAGCUCACAUAGCCUGUGCGGACCCUACCUCUGCCACCCUUGAAGUGGUCAUGUAACCUGGCAGCCAGGUUAGAGGUUAAACUUCCUCCACCCUUAAGGGGUCUCACAAAAUCAAAACAGGCCUUGGACCUUCAAAAGCUGCCUAUCUCGCCCUUGAACUUCUGAUCUUCCUGAGUGCUAGGGCUACAGGUGUAAGCCACCGCUCCCAUUGGGUGUGGCCCUAGGGUACUGGUGAAGCACGUCACAAGGUUCUUACUAGAGUGCUGGCACUGCAGGUCUCUACCACCUCACUCAGCUUGCCAGCUGCCCCUGGGACACAUUUGGUCCCAUUCCCCCUUCUAUCUCAACGCCCAGAAGAUGACUCAGCACAGCAAAUGGAACCUGAAGUAGUGUCUGUUGCUCGAGUAUGUGAUGUCAUGUGGUCGUGCUGCCAACGAUGGUGGAGUUCAGGCAUGUGGGGUUCGGUGACAUCUCUUCCAACCCAAAAAGCUAUGUAUAUCGAAAACCAAAAAUGAUGAAGCCACCAACUCACCAUUCAGGACUUGGAGGCUCAGCAGACCUAAGUCUCCAUUUCUCUGCCUUGUAUUCCCAUUUUUCCCUUGCACAACGUGGAUCUUUCUGGACUUACUACACUCCAAGAGCAAAGGAGGUGGAGAUGUACACUCUGACCCAAGCCAGUCAACCAACCAGGUAUUUCUGCACUUGUGGACAUAGACAGAAACCCAGUCCCUGCUAUAGAGGAACACACAGAUAACUUCAGAGCAAUAAAAGACAGGGUAGAAGACUCACCAAGAGGGACACUCUGAACCCCCUUAGAUCUGCUGGGCUCCUCAGAGUCCCUUCUCUAUCCAAUAAACUGUAACAUCUGCCAUUAAACUUU